rnacentral:rRNA from 1 species
GUAUUGAUAAUGACACUACAUAUAAACAGUCUUGACUAAUUGCGUGCCAGCAGUCGCGGUAAUACGUAAGAGACAAGUGUUAUUCAUCUUAAUUAGGUGUAAAGGGUACCCAGACAGCUAGAGUUUGAUAGGAGAAGAUAGUACUUUUGGUGGAGAGAUGAAAUUCUGUGAUACCCUAGGGACUGGUAAAAGCGAAGGCAAUCUUUUAUGAAAACUGACGUUGGAGGACGAAGGCGGAGAAAACGAACAGGAUUAGACACCCCAGUAGUCUCCGGAGAGAAUGAUGAAUGCCAUAGGUAAGAAUAGUCUAUAAACGAAAUUGGAAGCAUUUCACCUCAAGAGUAAAGUGGCAACACCGGAACUGAAAUCACUAGACCGUUUCUGCCCCCGGAGGGAAAGUAUGUCCUUUAAUUCGAAAAUCAACGAAAAACUUU